rnacentral:misc_RNA from 1 species
AAAGUCGUAACAAGGUUUCCGUAGGUGAACCUGCGGAAGGAUCAUUCAUAAUUGAGUGUUUUAUGGCACUCUUUAAAAAAUCCAUAUCCACCUUGUGUGCAACGUUUUUGGACUCUCUGGCGUUGAAAGACCAGGAGAGUUUGAUUAACUUAACUUAACACCUUUAAAGCAGUUUGUCUGAAUAUCUAUUUCUGAAUAAACAUAAUUCAAAAAUACAACUUUCAACAACGGAUCUCUUGGCUCUC